rnacentral:rRNA from 1 species
GAUGAACGCUGGCGGCGUGCUUAACACAUGCAAGUCGAACGGGAAUUCCUUUAUUGAAACUUCUGUCGGUUUAAUGUAAUUCUAGUGGCGGACGGGUGAGUAACGCGUGGGUAACCUGCCUUAUACAGGGGGAUAACAGUCAGAAAUGGCUGCUAAUACCGCAUAAGCGCACAGAGCUGCAUGGCUCGGUGUGAAAAACUCCGGUGGUAUAAGAUGGACCCGCGUUGGAUUAGCUUGUUGGUGGGGUAACGGCCCACCAAGGCGACGAUGCAUAGCCGGCAUGAGAGGGUGACCGGCCACAUUGGGACUGCGACACAGCCCAGAAUCCUACGGGAGGCAGCAGUGGGGAAUAUUGCACAAUGGGGGAAACCCUGAUGCAGCGACGCGGCGUGAAGGAAGAAGUAUCUCGGUAUGUAAACUUCUAUGAGCAGGGAAGAUAGUGACGGUACCUGACAAAGAAGCCCCGGCUAACUACGUG